rnacentral:rRNA from 1 species
AGUGAACGCUGGCGGUAGGCCUAACACAUGCAAGUCGAACGGCAGCACAGUAAGAGCUUGCUCUUACGGGUGGCGAGUGGCGGACGGGUGAGGAAUACAUCGGAAUCUACUUUUUCGUGGGGGAUAACGUAGGGAAACUUACGCUAAUACCGCAUACGACCUACGGGUGAAAGCAGGGGAUCUUCGGACUUUGCGCGAUUGAAUGAGCCGAUGUCGGAUUAGCUAGUUGGCGGGGUAAAGGCCCACCAAGGCGACGAUCCGUAGCUGGUCUGAGAGGAUGAUCAGCCACACUGGAACUGAGACACGGUCCAGACUCCUACGGGAGGCAGCAGUGGGGAAUAUUGGACAAUGGGCGCAAGCCUGAUCCAGCCAUACCGCGUGGGUGAAGAAGGCCUUCGGGUUGUAAAGCCCUUUUGUUGGGAAAGAAAAGCAGCAGGUUAAUACCCCGCUGUUCUGACGGGACCCAAAGAAUAAGCACCGGCUAACUUCGU